UACCAGCACCCCGAGUGGUCGGGACGUUUAUUGGGCCUAAAGCAUCCGUAGCCGGUUCUACAAGUCUUCCGUUAAAUCCAGCUGCUUAACAGAUGGGCUGCGGAAGGUACUAUGGAGCUAGGAGGCGGGAGAGGCAAGCGGUACUCGAUGGGUAGGGGUAAAAUCCGUUGAUCCAUUGAAGACCACCAGUGGCGAAGGCGGCUUGCCAGAACGCGCUCGACGGUGAGGGAUGAAAGCUGGGGGAGCAACCGG
rnacentral:rRNA from 1 species